UACGGAGGGGGUUAGCGUUGUCCGGAUUUAUUGGGCGUAAAGGGCUCGUAGGCGGUUCAACAAGCCGGCCGUGAAAGUCUGGGGCUCAACCCCAGGAAGCCGAUCGGAACUGUUGUGACUAGGGUCCGGUAGAGGUGACUGGAAUUCUCGGUGUAGCGGUGAAAUGCGCAGAUAUCGAGAGGAACACCCGUAGCGAAGGCGGGUCACUGGGCCGGUACCGACGCUGAGGAGCGAAAGCGUGGGGAGCAAACAGG
rnacentral:misc_RNA from 1 species